GGAUAGAGUGAGUGUGCUUCAGCAGCCC
rnacentral:piRNA from 1 species